AUCCAGCUGACGAGUCCCAAAUAGGAAGAAAAGAGCGUCCUAGAU
rfam:Schistosoma margrebowiei strain Zambia genome assembly, scaffold: SMRZ_contig0002889